AUGUAAUCGGUGUAGAGACUCCACU
rnacentral:piRNA from 1 species